CCAGAGUAAGCUCGAAUUCAUUUGGGUACAAGAAUGGUACGCACUCUCUCGCAACUGCUUUUCUUCAUUUGGGUUCAAUCUUCAGUGUGUUAAUUGAUGUUUUCACUGUUUAAUUUCCAAAUCCCCGUAGUAUUAAUCGAAACCGGCUUCAAUUGAAAAACCCCAAAACACAAAAUUUAGGUUUCAUGGAACAGAAGCAUAAGAUAUUGGAUAGUUCAAGUUGUGAGGAUGAAGGAAGUAGUCUUGGUCGUAAGGAAGAUAGAUUCAGUGGUCUCCCCGACGGAGUUGCUUAUCGCAUUCUUUCGUUUCUUACUAUAAAGGACGUCACUUGUUUCAGCAUUGUGUCCAAAAGAUGUAGAGAACUUUAUCUCUCAACUCCGUCAUUGGAUUUUGAAUUCAGGACUACGAGAACACCCUCGGGUGAGUAUAAGAGUUUCCGCGAGGCCACAUGUGAAGUUAGAUUGAGUUUGAUGAACUCAUUGGAUAGGUUCUUGCUUCAACGCGGGAAUAACAAGAUAGAGUACUUUCGUCUUGUGUGGGAGAAUCACUCUGUAGUCGAAGAAGACAGUGACGACCUAAGGGAUGAAGAACCAUGCUUCUGUGUUAAUGAGCGUUUCCGGAUAAUGACUUGGAUUCAUAAUGCACUGAGGUGUAAUGUUGAAGUUCUUGAUGUUAAGAGCGAUGUAGAUUAUUUUGAGGAUGAGCCGUACGCAUUGUUUCCUUCUUGUGUCUUUCUCUGUGCAACUUUGACUUCUCUAGCAGUUGAAAUGAAUCAUACAACGGUUAAAACACCUUCCGUUGCCUUUUCCUCGAAUCUUGUAGACCUGAAGUUAUUAAAUGUUGAUAUAGAAGAUGAGGGGUUUUUCAAAUGGAUCUCAUGUUCCUGCAAAUUCAUCAAGGAAAUAUAUCUUUGUGAUAUUAGUAUAACUGCUAAUAUCAUCAUCAAGAGCUCGUCUCUGGAAAAGUUUGGAUAUGUGGACGGUGGAAGGUUUACACCGAGCCAUUUUAACAUCUCAGGCGAGAAACUUGAAAUCAUAAAUAUUACCUGGAUGCUUAAUUUACCUGGUGACAAGUCGUUAAAUAUUUUUGCUCCAAGACUCAAAGAUUUAUGUUGGAGGGGGAGUCGGGUAAAUCAGGGAAACCUGGGACCUCUAGAAUGUUUAGAAAAGGCUGUUAUUUGCCUGGAGCCUAAAGCAGAUGACUCUGACAAACUGAUUAAGCAUUUUUACAGUUUACGCAGGGUUGAACGUCUUGUUUUAAAUGCAGCGACCUUGAAGGUAAUGAGAACCACAACCCUUCAUACUGAAUAUUACUUUUCAGUGGAAAAAAACUAGAUAUUUUGUUAUCCGAAAUAAUUUAAUUAUUUUGUUUCUCUCUUUACAUUUCAGUUUAAACAGGAUAACAAUACUUUUACAUUAAAAUGGUCACACUUGCUAUAACAAAAUGAGAAACAUGAUAUAGGUUUUGCCUUUAUGACAUUGCAGGCUUUGUUCAGGGAAGGGUACACGCAUGCUCAAUUUGAUCGUCUUUUUUAUUUGGAAUUGAAUCUAAGGAGCUUUUCUGAUGAUAUCUUUCCUGCAGUGGUCUCUCUAUUAAGAGGAUUGCAUAAUUUGUGUACUUUAUACAUAAGUUGUUUUGCUGUCCCAAGUUCUAAGGACCCUCAACCCAAUGUAAGUUAAGUCUAUGAUUUCCUUUCUUAAUAUCGUAAAACGUCUAUCUACUUAUGAAAUAAAAUUUGGUUCCAACUUGGGCUAGUUACAAGUAUUAUUAACCUCCAUGUCGUAUUACGUAAUAAUUUCAUUACAUCUGUUUUAAAACUUGUCUCCACAUUGCAAAAAUUGUCAAAAAACCUAAAAGAUGAAGUGUCAUGAUUUAAGUUUUAAGAUGAAAUCAAAUAAUUCUCUUAAGAAUGCAGUCUCCCAAUAUUUAUUUAGGUCCCGGUUUAAGAUAAAGUUGUUCUACACAUGGUAAAAAUUGUCGAGAAUAGUUUAUUCUUUAGAGUUCUUGUCACGUCUUUGAGCUUGUGAAUACAUAAUCACUUGUCAACAUGGACACCUUUUUGGUGAAGCCGAGCUGCUCUUAGCUUCGUUUGGUUUCUUAUUUUGUGGAAAAUUUCAAAUUGGUUGCUUGUUGACUUGUUGCUGUUGCAGUUAUCUGGGUUUGAUAAGGAAUACUGGAAGCUGCAGAAUCUGGAUUUUAUUGAUCAGAUUAAGGAGGUUACCAUAGUGCUGGAUGGGUCUAGUAACGGGAUUGAGUUUGCACGGUAUAUACUCGAGAAUGCCAAGAACCUGGAGCAAAUUCACUUACAACAUUUAUUGGAUCUGCCUGAUGAUGCUAUACAGAAGCUAAAUGAAAGUGACAUGUCCAGGGCAGCGGUUAAUUUUGAGGAAGACUACGAGGAAGACUCCGAUGAAGACUACGAGGAAGACUCCGAGGAAAACUUCGAAGAAGACAUUGAGGAAGACUAAACGAGAUAACAAAGAAAGCAGUUUUGAUGUUUUGCGGUUGUUUUUUGCUAUGAUAUUGAAACCUUAAUAUACAUGUUGAUAUACCGUCGUUAAUUCUUAUCGUCUGAAAAAAAUUCUCUGGAAUUAGAGAAAACCAAAAUCAAGGAGAAAAAGAAUUACUUCAAUCUCAUUUGGGAUUCCGAAACUUAAUUUGCAUCACGUUGCACUUUGAAACUCAAUUUUUGCAUCAUCUUGAAACUUAAUUUGCAUCACUUUAAACCGAAAUCAAAGUAGCUUGAAUUUUAAGCCUUUUAAAUCAAAACCAUGAAGUUUUAGAAUCAUAAGAUGUGAUUGAAAUUUUUAGCAACUUAAGAUCAUGCUUAAUUUUGAGUGCAAUAUUGAUAUAGAAUUUUAUCACGGUGUCGAAAAAUAAUUAUGUCUAUGUAUUAGAUGCCAGUGUAAUAUUUUUUUUUUUAAUAAAUAAUUAUUUAACUUAUUGAUGCUAUCGGUAAAAAAAAAAUUAAUGUAUGUCGAAUCAAAUUUCACUUUUCACAUUGGAACCAAUGAAAAGGGUGAUAUUUUUUACCAAACGAGAACGGACAAGGAUUGUCUGCCCUCCUUGUUCCCGUGCCCUCUUAUGUCCUCCUGUUUGUGCGGUCACUGUUAAGUCACGUCAAUAUUUUAUAUUACCAUUCAUUUUUGUCUUAUUAUCUCUAUAAAAAAAAGUAAUAUAAAAUGUUAACAUGACUUAACCGUAACCACACAAAACAGGAGGGCACGGAACAAAGUGGCAGACAAUCCUUGUCCAACGAGAACCGACACCCCGAAUCAAGACUUCAAAGAGUUAAACCCAUUUACCGUCGGAAACACCAGUCAAUCAACGCCACCCCCAAAUUAACAAAGCUAGGGUUUACCGCGCCCUUCUUCGAAUUCAUCUAACUCCAGAAUCUGUAGCACCAAGGAAGAUGGAGGCACACUCACCCAUCUGUGUUCGCACCCGCUCCUACUAACUGCACUGCCAGAGUAAGCUCGAAUUCAUCUGGGUACAAGAAUGGUACACUCUCUCGCAACUGAUUUUCUUUAUUUCGGUUCAAUCUUCAGUGUGUUAAUUGAUUUUUCAGGGUUUGGUUUUCAAAUCCCCGUAGUAUUAAUCGAAACCGGCUUCAAUUGAAAAACCCCAAAACACAAAAUUUAGGUUUCAUGGAAUUGAAGCAUGAGACAUUGGCUAGUUCAAGUUUUGAGGGUCAAGGAAGUAGUCGUAGUUGUGAGGGUGAAGGAAGUAAUCGUAGUCGUGAGGAAGACAGAUUCAGCGGUCUCCCCAACAGAAUUGCUUAUCGAAUUCUUUCGUUUCUUACCAUAAAGGACGUUGCUUGUUUCAGCAUUGUGUCCAAAAGAUGCAGAGAACUUUAUCUGUCAACUCC
rnacentral:lncRNA from 1 species